AUAAUAAAUUAAUGAAACAGAGUAUAGCCCACAUGUCUUCAAUUUCAACAUGAAACCAACCUUUCCAGAGCUUUCUCAUCGCAUCCUCACCAGAAAUUUCCUUGGAAACAAGAAAAGAAUUUGAUUCAUUAUUCUCACCACAACUUUAAUUCCACUAAGGAAAAACAUUCCUAUAUUUAUAGAGAGAGAGAGAAAGAGGCGAGUUGUAAAUCCCUGGUAGGAAAUCCUGAUAGAUCAUAGAAAUGAAUGAACCACCAAAAUAUGCUUACCCCUAUCCUGCUCAAGGAUACUAUCAGGGACCGCCGGUGGUGGCGCCGCCGCAGUACGCGGCGCCGCCGCCGAAGAGGGAGCCCGGAUUCCUGGAAGGCUGCCUUGCGGCCUUGUGCUGCUGUUGUUUGAUGGAUGAAUGCUGCGACCUGCUCUGCUUCUUCUAGUCUACGCCUCCACUCAUUUACUUUUAAUUUGCAAAACCUAUGUACAAAACUAAAUUAUGUGUUUUAACAACUACGUGUAUGAAUAUUUAUUGCUAGAGAUGCUCUGUUUCUUGAGAGGAACUACAACGGUUUCAAAUGUUUUUGGAAGCUAUAUACAUACUAAUUUGUCUUGUUCCA